GGACUACCAGGGUUUCUAAUCCUGUUUGAUCCUCUUGCUCUCGCGCCUCAGCGUCAGGUAAUAGCUAGAAAACCGCUUUCGCCACCGGUGUUCCUCCACAUAUCUACGCAUUUCACCGCUACAUGUGGAAUUCCGUUUUCUCCGCCAUCCCUCUAGAUUCACAGUUUCAAAUGCAGCUCCGAAAUUGAGUUUCGGAAUUUCACAUCUGACUUACAAAUCCGCCUACGCGCCCUUUACGCCCAAUAAAUCCGAUUAAUGCUUGCACCCUCCGUAUUACCGCGGCUGCUGGCAC
rnacentral:rRNA from 1 species